rnacentral:rRNA from 1 species
CGAUCUCUGCAUUGGCUAUCUAGGGAGAAAUUGUCGGCACCAAAAGUUCAAGGAGGCAUGGGUUUUAGGGAGUUUGAAAAGUUUAAUAUGGCGCUUCUUGGGAAGCAUGGUUGGCGACUCCUAACUCACCCAGACUCCCAAUGUUCUCGAGUUCUCAAAGGGAAAUAUUUCCCAGAUUGUGAGUUUAUGCAGUCCCACACUCCAUCCUCGGCAUCGGCAACAUGGAAAUCAAUCAUUGCGGGGAGAUCGGCAUUUGCAAAUGGGACUAAUUAA